rnacentral:rRNA from 1 species
AACGUAGGAGACAAACGUUAUCCGGAGUUACUGGGCGUAAAGGGCGUGUAGGUGGUUUUGUAAGUCUGGCGUUGAAAUUUUUCGGCUUAACCGGGAAAGGUCGUCGGAUACUGCAAGGCUAGAGGACGGUAGAGGCGUGUGGAAUUCCGGGUGUAGUGGUGAAAUGCGUAGAGAUCCGGAGGAACACCAGUGGCGAAGCGCACGCUGGGCCGUAACCUGCAGCUGAUGC